CUGGUAAGCAAACCAAAGUCUCAGAGAUGAAUGUUAAUGGGUGCCUAGGUAGGGACAGACUGUUUCUGCACUUUUACAACAGAGAAUCAGAAAAAUAAAUUCCUACUGCUAGUUAGGCCCAAAUUACUGCCUAAGAGACCAUCAAGAAAAUUAGGGAAGAAGGGAACUUCCAGAGUUAGCUUGGAUAUUUCAAAAGAUGCAUUAGUAGAUAAGGAAUGUGCAGUAUGUGUGCAAAUGUAGCAGCCACCUUGUAGUAUAAAGAAGAUACCGCCCACAUGACAAGCUGUAAAAAAACAAAAACAAAAGUGGUGCAUCAUCAGAUUAUUUACAAAAUUUUACAUGCAGGAUCAUUUUUUCUGCUUGACAACAAUUCUGAAAUGCUUGUAAUUAUUGGUGACAAAGGAUGAAAAGGAAAAUGCCUGAUUAGAUGACUGGCAAUUAGAAAAUAGGCUUUUGGUCAGUUAAGCAAAUGUGAUCUGGAGCCACUAGUGUAAAAAUGUGACGUGUCCCAAGGAGAAGGGUUACUUUUUAAAAUAAAGUCAUGCUUUGAAUUCUGUAAGAAGCAAAAGGCAGACAAUCAAUCUUCUAAUUCAAAUAUAUUCUAAAAACAUAUAACUUACUUGUUAUUUGUUACAACCUACUGUAAUUGGCAGACACAACCUAUUCUUGCACAAACCAAGAUAUGGAAUGGGGCACCUGGAAAUGUGUUUAAAGACUGCUGUGAGUACACCAAUGAUAGGAAGCUCCAAAUUGAAAGGACUCUCCUAAAACACAAAACUGUCAGCCAAUUCUCACAACACAUCACAAAUGAUUGAACCCACCAAAUACUGUUAAUUAAGAUUUGUUUCACAAAUGACAGCUACUCUCUAUGUAGCCUUGGUAAUUGAGGCAAGACAUUAAAUUGAGGCCUGGUUUCUGCUGCAACCUCUCUGUUACCUCAAAGGAACAGGAUGUCUUUCAAAAUAUUGAACUGAUUCUUUAUAUCAGUAUACAAAGGAAGUGGACAAUUUAUGAGGAAGUCAAACUGAGCUGUAGUUCCUUUCGGUUUCUACUUUAAUACUGAAUUCAGCAUAAUAGCACUCAUGUAGCAAUCAUUACAGAGGGAAUUACCCACUAAAGCAAACAGCAGUCAUAUGUUUGUAUGGGAGUUCCGCUUUGUCCUCCUGAUACAAGGAAGUGAUAGCACCCUAUGAAAAAUUUUGAGCUGUGAGCCAAAAACAUCAGAUGCAGUAAAAUAAUUUUGAUGUCUGCCUGUACAGCUCAGUUGAUGAUCCCAUUGUAAAACAGCAACUUCCCACUGUAACAGACCACCCACCAUCAGCCUGUACCACAGUGAGGUUCUGCCACUGCUCUUUAAUUAUACAGAAAUCUUCCCAGUAAGACACUAAGGAAGAGAGCAGUAAGGACAGAUUGUUCCCAAGACACUGUUGAAACCUGAAACAGAUGAGGGCUGUGAUAUUUCCUGCCUGUUGUUACCAGGUUAACCUUUUACCUGCAGGACUUGCUGCUUCCAUUUGCCCAACCUGUGAUAAGCUGAAAAUGAAAUCAUUUUGACAGCUAUAAAAGGUCAGUUGUAGAAACAACAUAUUUGUUUUAGCUCAGUAUCUUACCUACAGCAUCUGCUAUUCGUUAUCAUACUAGUGCAUCCAGAGGGGGGAAAAAAAAAUCAGAUUCCUAAUUUCAGUACAAUACGGCUGAUACUUUGGAACAAAGGAGCUCACAUCUUACCACAGCACAUUUGAAAAUAGAUCCUCCUGCCACAAGAACAGAAACUGGAGAUGACUUGACAAAAUUCUUGAGGAUGCACACAUUACACCUGAAAUAAGGAGGGAAGGCGAGCUGAAGACGACCUUCCCAGUACUGUCAAGCAAGCAUCCACAAGUAAAUGGAACCUUACAGUCCUGUGAAUAAUACAAACAGGCAUUAACACACAGCAAACUCUUGUAGUCAGCAAUGGUUCAUCAACCUUUAACUCAGAGAAAAUCUAACCUGAACUCUGUAAGACCCUGCACAACACUCAUGUCAAGAUUUACAGGGUUUUGUCACAUUUCAUGAAUGUCAAUAACCAUAGUAUGUUUAGGUGAUGCCCUACUGGACUCUCAACACAGAUGAAUGUGCCAGGGAGAGGCAGUCCUCAGGAGAAUUACCCAGAAAAGAUGAGCCAGUAACUGGCAGUUACUUGAAAUAAUGACUUUCAGUAUAGGGUUUUUUCCCCCAACGUGGUAACAAAUGUAAAUUGGUUGGGACAUCUCCAAAAUAACAAUUUUUCACUGAAACCAAAUCUCAUGCAUAGCUAUGAUGAACUUAAAAGAUUUUCUGUUAUUAUUUUGCACUUAUAUUUUUGAGAAUACUUGCAGACAUUUCAGAGAUGUGAAAUCUCUGUAAAAUUACACAGAUUUUACAACCAAAUUGGGUAAGGUUAAAUAGCUUCUCAAAUGGAAAAGACAUCAGCAAGUUGGGUUUGUGGUCCCAAAUGUGCAGUUCUCUGAGCAGUGAUUGAGAUGUCUUCCUCAAAGAAACAGGCUUGUACAUUAAAAAGGGGGAAAAAAACAUGACCUACAGUGCAAAGCCCUUAGAGGACUUUGUGCUACAACUACAGCAUAUAGCAAUAAAUCAAACAUUUCCAGGUGUACUAGUUCAAAGGAUAUUCCAAUUGCCCUCAUUACUACUGACCUUUUACUAACACAGAGUGCUGACCUGAGCUAGCGUUGAAUAAUUCCCUGCCACAGAAAACUGCUGUUGCAAAGCUGAAAGAAUAUGUGAGAUACCUGAUAUAACAAAAAGAUAACCAGUGGCACAUAUAUUCUUUCCAGGCAUGGUUUAUUGAAAACACACCAAAUUGUUAUCCUACAUACCUGGUUUCUAACAAGCAUUCUACUUGUCUGCAUUAUGGAAAGAUCCUAUAAUAAUAAUACAUUCUGUCACGGUAACAUUUGUUCCAUGAAAAGCAUAAUCCACCUUUUUUCCUCUCCAUACUGGUAAAAUCAAACCAUUCUAAGUGUUUCAAUUUAUAGUACAGUGUAAAUACAAUGCAAAACCCCACCAGUCUAAACUACAGAGAGAAUGUUGAGCAGUAUUACAGAAAACACAUUGUUGAUUUAUUUUUCUUUUUUAUUCUCCUACCAUGAAAAUUUUAAGGCACAUGAUAGUUACAAACACAUUAGCUACUAAUUACCAGUAAGCUCCUUAGUCUAGUUACUUUGUUUUUCUUAAAAGUAAGAACCAGAUUGGCAGGCCUUGUAGUAUCUGCACUAUCUUCCUCCUCAUUUGCAAAUGGACUUCCUAACAUCCUACCCCGAUGUAAAACUUAAGACAGAAUAAAAGAGAUUCAUAACAACUUUCCUUUAAAUGCACUAGAUUAGUUACUGUACCAAAAAAUCAGAGGAUUUCUCUGACAAAGAUAAGGAAACACCAGAUUUUAUGGGCAUUAAAACAAGAACACUGCGAGAAACUAUGCCUAUAUAAACACCUUCAAAAACUGAGAGAGUGUAAUCCAACCCAAACAGCACAAAACUUCUGGCUGAACUUGCUGGCACACUAUAGCUUACACUGAGUGGGCAGCUAGACAGAAGGGACUGUAAUCAGUCUGUAAUGUGCUCAUGUGGUUUCUGAAGCUUUACUUACUCCAAGCGUUUAAAAUGUGCCUCUCUCUCAUAAGUAGCCAAGCCUGUAAGCUCAACUUUAAGGCAAGUAACAGAAAGUAACUCACCACCUUCAAGCUAACAAAAUCGCUGUAGGAUUGAAAACUGCUUUGCCCAGCAUAAACCAUGCAUGCUAGAAAUCAUCACUGAAAACUAUUCCUCUGAGUUGGCAGGAGCUUACUAAUUGGCUCUAACAAACAUGCCACCCCCACUUCCUUAACGCAUCACUUAACAAGUCAGUUCCUAGUCCCCAAGUCAGUCCCUUUUAUGAAGUCUUGGCAAAGGAGACAAGAUUUAUUUUCCUAAUAUAUACAUUUAGAAUCUGUGGGUCUGAGUGCACUAGUCUAGAACCAGGGACACUCAGGUAUUCUGCCCAUAAGACUUCUGGCUGCCCAAGCUGCUCCCUGGGGAACAUUUCAAGCUGGCAACCACCUUUGAUUUGUCAAGUUACACUUACGGCUAAAUUGCUUUUUAGCUCCAACACAGAAACAAAAUGUCCUUACAUCUUGCCUUUCUGCUGGACGCUGCACAGACAGAAUCACAUAAUCCUUAGAGUUGGAAGGAUAAAUCACUCAUCCACUCAACAGCCCAACUUCAUGCUUACCUGGCAGUCUUGACACACAACAUUAAGUGGCCCUAUCAGUGUUGUUUCUUGGUUUUCAGUUUUGUUUAACCUCCACAGCCUACUGAAUAUGCCUGGGCAGUGAGCAAGCCAUCUCCCUGGGAUGAAAGUUCAGCAGUUAGUUGCCAUCAGAAAUCUCUUCCAUCCCGUUACCUCAGCCCUUACUGGGCGAUCAAAUUUCUUCCUCCUCUUUAUUAAGAGUCUUGCAACACCCAUCUUUUCCUUCCACAACCACCCCUCCCACUUAAAUUUCUGCAGGUACAAAUCUCUCCUACCCCAGCUCUUUGCAGACAGACUGCCUCCAGUUUUCACAGUGGAACCAACAGGAAAAGAGGAGGUCACAUACCUGAGCCCUAAAAAGCACUGCCUGCCUUUGAGCAGGAGCCUCUAGACCAUACUGCAGCAUUAGUUACACACACUGCCACUUUCCCUUCUUAACGUACUAUCCCUGCUGCCAAAACAAACUCAACAAUUACUGGUUUAUUUACCCACAUUCCAGAAGAGCUCAACCAGCCCAGUCACACUUGCAUCAAGAAGGAGAGAUAUAAGGGCAGGUGUGGACACACAUCCCACCAAUGCAUUCUGGAAGUUGGCAUGUGGCCACAGAUGAAAAGGACAUUGGAUAAAUCACCGAGCUAAGUUCAAAGUAUCUUGCUAGACAUUUUGGCUUGUGAGCUGAUAGUACAAGGCGAUAGUCUCAUAUGCAAGUCAUUCCCAGCCCAUUUUCUUUCCUCAUCAUCCGAACAACAGCUUGGUGAGAAAAAAAAUAAACACAGUAACGUAAAUGAUACAUUAUUGGUUAUUGCUACAUACCGAAAAAUUCAUCAUAACUGUAAGGCAUGGGAAGGGCAAAAGUAAGAUGUUGUUUCCUAGGAGGACGUCUUGGCACGUGGACUUGGCAUUUCACACCUCUUAUGUACUACCCUUUACUUUUUUGUUGCAAUAAACCAUGCUUUCACCUCUGAACCAUCGGGGCUGCCAAGAACACUUUAUCCCAGGAGAAAGGAAGAAGAACAGUUUGCUACAAUGAGCCUGGGCAGCCAAUGCCAUCUAACCUGACAGGGAGGUUUGCUUGACAGAGGAUGCAGUAUAAAUAUGAAAAGAUCUUUGGGGGGGGGGAAGCUGGAUAGGGUCUGAAUUUGCUUCUCAAGUUUUCCUUAGUGUUUUCAGUUUGAUUCACUAAUGACAGAGACAAAAACAGAUACCCAUAGAUUUUGAGUGUCCUUGUAGUGCCCCACUGAGAGUCAUAUGAUACCUGGCACAGGAGGUCAUGGACAUAACUGACCCCUAAUCACAUCACUUCCCCCUUUCCUGCAGUUUUCUCUGUUAACCUCUUGCUGGCUUUGAAAUAUUUGUACAGCAACUGAAUUACAAAGUCUUAGCAGAGACUCAACAGUCAGGUCUUUAUUUUAAAUGAACUUUUGCUCAGACUCCUUUGGUAAAUAUAUGGUUUGAAGUAGAUCAGGGACAGACUGACAGCAUGGCCCUUUUCUUACACUGUUCUAAUUAGCUACAAAGCAGGUUCCAUUGCUAAUUACUGAACGCUUUUAAAAAAAUCCUUUCAUAUACAAAAAGAAUACACCAAGUACAUAACCAAAAGUGAUAUAAAACGUUUCUGUGUAGCUUGGUUAAAAGGGUCUCCGCGUAUUGGCAGAACAAGUAUGAAAAGAGCACCAUUGAUAUAAUAUACAGUCAGACUAUGUAUCUGGUUUCAUCGCCAAACUUUAUGUCUACACACAGAGACACUGCCUCUGACACAGAUGUUGAUAAUCACAGAUGCAUCUCUGCUUCCCUUGAUCUGCUGAGCAUCUUUGGCCCAAUAGAACUCUCAUGCAGGUGAAAACCCCACAAAUAUUUGCUAUCUUAAUUUGCUCUGAGCAACUUCACCUUCUCUAUGAUCCAGAAGUGACUACUGCAAUGUACAUAGAAGAUGAGGGUCAAAAGGGAGGAGGGUGAAGGAGCACAUGUAUCAUCCAAAUCACUGACAGCUUCUGGCAUCAGUCUUUUUCCCUGAAUCAACAAAUGCUUCCCUCUCCUGCAAACUACUUUACAUGGUUUUAUUAACCUAUCCUCUGCACAACAAUAUAUAUAUAUAGAUAUAUAGAUUUAUUUAUUUAUAUAUAUGUAUUCAUGUCAAUUUUUUAAUAUACUCAUGAAGAUAGAAAGCUCUUGGUACUUGCUUUUUUGUGUUUUUUUUUUUUUUAACAAAAACUUCAAAUGCUUACUAUUACAGUAAUAUUUUGGGUGAGGCAAGGUUGUUGGAUAUUUCCCCUUUUUAAUUACAAAGGAAAUGGCAGGCACUGAAAACACCAAAUGAUGUUCGCUAGGCUCAAAAAUGUGCUUUCCAGUCACACCAUUUUUAGGAGCUUAUUUAGAAUUAAAUGUGGCAACCAAACAAAAUCAGCAAAAGCCCUCUGAUGCUUACUAGUGAGAUAUUUGGUUCCUAUUCUUUUCUGCUGCCCUCCCUUGACCAAUGCCUGCAGAAAAUCAGUGAUCUAAAGUCACUUAGUUCGUGGCAUUAUCAUAUUCUGUAUAUGCAGCGUAUGUUCUCUGUUCUCAUGAGGUAAAUUUUCUGCCUUAUCCAGAGCACGCCAUGGCAUCUAAGAGGAGAACAUUUGCACAUGGAUGAUUUUCAUACCACCUAAAAUAUGUAAUCUCAAAACAAAAUCAAGGGAACACAGAAAUGAUGAUGAUUUAAAAAAUGUCUGAUCUGUUCCCUUUAUGGCAUUUUCCACCAGGAUCUAUGGCCCAAAGCAAACAUGGAUCCAACAGUGAUAAAUUUACCAUCAAAUAUAAAUGACAGACCCCUCUAAAAUGUAUAGUAUGUUCAAAAUAAGACAUCCUGCGAAGAAGCUUCUAUUUCUUCCAAUGUGUUGACAGCUACAGCAAAAGAAAUUGUUAAUUGUCAUCAAUGCAACACUGGUACAAUUAAAACGUAAGAGCUCCUUACUGCAACCUCUGAGAAUAAGAAAAUAAAAAGUCAGCCAACUCCAUUUCUGAGCAUACAUUUCUGAACUGGGGACACUAAAACCUUCAUGUGGAAAUAAAAGCAGAGCCAUUACAGAAUUCAAAAGGCAGAAGUACUGUACAUCAGAUUAUAACGAUAAUAUAGCACUGUGAUUGAUAUAGCUUACUCUAAAAGCAGAUUUAUACAGCUUGCACCAAUUUUGUUAUCUACUCUCCAGUUCAUCUGACCAGCAUUUAAUAUUUUUUGUUCUGUAUUUUCUCUCUUCAUUGAAAUUCAAUAAACCCACUCAACAUUCCUGCAAUUCCUGUUGAAAUAACAAAGAAAACCUCAACAUUUUUCAAAAACCCUUUAAAAAUGUUAGAUUCACAGUUCAAAAUACAUCCCCCCAAACAAAAAGAAAACAAUGGGACCCAAACCAUAAAAGUGCUAAUAUCUUCAUGACUACACCUAAGGUAUCAUUUCAAAUAUUCUGCAGUUCACUUAUGAAGCUGUCCUCUUUGCUGCUGCAUGACCUUCGCUUCUCAUUCUUGGCACCUUCCACAUAAAUGACCUACCCAGGGGAAAAUACAAGCUUGUUUUGAGGCCAGAGAGAAGUUAUGGCCACAGCAUUGUUAGAAGCACUAAGUAACUUUUAAAUAAAAAGAUCUACUGAAAAAGCAUAGCAAUGCAACAGAAAUUCAACAGAAUCCACUAAGAUACUUUUGCACACAACCCUCAAGGCAAAACGCUUCAUGAAGAAAGACUGCUGUUGUUGCUGUUAAAUUAGAAAAUGGUCUAAAUUUGUUUUUAGAAGGCACACACUCAGAAGUACGCACAUCUCUCCUUCCUCUCCAUCUCCUUGGCCCAUGCCCACUGUCUACAGUCAGGAGUCAGAGUGAGUGCUGCUGAAAUGAAUGCUGCUCACCACGCUGCUCUAGACAAAUGCACAAGCUGACACGUACUUCUCACGGUGAAAACAAAGCAGUGUGAUGUUCUGAAGUGACUGUUCUCAGAAUAAAGACUGAAUACGGUUAUUCACUACAGGGCAAGGGAAUGCUGCCUGCACAAAGAUGACAGAACAAAAACUUUAUUUUCUUACAACCUCAUUCAUUUACAAGAAUAUAUCAACUGCCUGCAUUUACUUCUGCACUGGAAAGCAGUAUUUUGUUUUUAUUUCUAGUUAGCCAGUGCUAGGUUAGGAAAUGGUGCUUUGUCUUAACAUUAGGCAACAAAGACACCAAAAAAACCCUUUACAGCCCUCUAGUGAGUAACUACCCUGUUCUUGCUGAGAACACCAGGCUCUGUUUCUUCUGAAGGCACUAACUAGCACUCAGCAAUAAAGGGAAUCUCACUUUUAAGGGUUCUUUCUCUGAGGCAUCCCCUGUGUUAUCGCUGGUCUUGUAUUUGCGCUCCUUGUCCCGGUGAUCGAUGGUAGAGUAUCCAUCUGAGGAGGAAUAAUAUGACAGUUAGGCAUGAAGCACAACAAAGAGCAAAACAGAGCUGAUGCUAGCAGUAUUCUUCAGCAAAGAAACAGGAAAAGAGACCAUCAAAACCCAAAGAUGCUGGUAGCCUGCUUCUCACAUACGCUCUAGCUCUGAGAUUUUACUUUCACCGGUUUAAAACAGAAAAGCUUUUUUUUUUUUUUUGUAUCACUGCCAGAUGCUGGCACUCAUUAGCAAGCAGAACUGUUUUCAUCCCAACCUACUGCAGUUUUGUAGUGUGCCUAAGGAAAGCAGCAAGUUGUCAUCUCAAGCCCUGUGGCUAAUGAGCUCCAAAUUCAGCUCAAAUCUUGUGUUCCUUGCUUAGCAGCCUGAUUAAUUGGCUGUGUUCAUUCUCUGAAUGCUCUGCAGCAUGUUCCCACUCUUCCUGAGCCUGACUAUUAACAGGACAUAACAGUAAUUUCAAAUAGCCCCUUUCAGUGCAUUGAGAAAAGGAGACUGUUGAGUUGGAAGAAAUCUUGAUGCAAACUCUGCUGUGCUAGGACUGCCUUUCAUUCCAAAGCAGCACCUGAUGCUGCUUUUUCUCCUGACAACUAAGAAACAAUAUGAAAGCGUGAUUAGUACACGGAGGAAAAGUGUGAGGGACCAUUAUAAAGAAAUAGCUUUACAUAUUUCAGAACAUACUCUGCCUUGAAUCAGUUCAGCCAACACAAACCUGAAUUUAUUUUCCUGAGGCAUCAGAUUUCCCUCAUUAUCAAUUACAAAUAGAUCGUCUCCUGCUCUGCUUUGACAGCAUCGUGACCUGGAGUAAAUGACACUCAAUCUAUAUAUUCCUGUAGGCUUUUGUUUUUACCCAUGUAACUGACAGAUCAUUAAUGUUUUCACAUUCUGACAAACUGGGUUCUUAGAAGACUACAAAAAGGUUCUUAGGGAGCUACCCAAAAUGUGCAUCUCUUGGCACAGUACUUGCCUGCAAAAUGUCACUAAGAAAAAAAGCUUUUUUGUGGGGUUGCCUUGGCACAAAGAGGCUCUGUUUGCCCACACGACAAAAGCAGCUGGAGUGAGUUGUUCCGAACAGUCACAGCACAGUUCUAAACGACGUUUAUGCUGGUCACAGUGAAGUUAAUUUUAAAAGAGCUCAAGUUUUCUACACAUCUCAGGAAUCAAAGUGCAGACAGACCUGAGGCAGCACUCAUGACAUCAUGGCUAGUAACAUUACUUACCCAUGCUGCUUAAAAAUAACUAAGCAAUUGAGUUACACACGUAGUGCACAGAUUUUCAAGCAUUGCUACACAGAACUUCACUUACAAACAUUUGUUGACAACAAUGAAGUUAACAUUACUGGCUAUUCCUUUUGAAAAAAAAAAGUAGAACCCAAAGCCUACUAGUUGCAUUCAGUCACCCAGCCAGAAUUUGUGGUGGAAUGCUAAUCAAUAAUUCUCUUCAGAAUGUCUAGCAUGAAUACUACUAGUUAAGUUAUAUAUUAAAGAUUCAUCAUUCAUUUAGGAGUAAAUUGUUCACAUAGGUAUCUACACAAAUGAUGGAAGCAUGCUGACUCACAGUAAUUUAAACACUCAACUGAGAGGUAGAUUCUCACAGUCAAAUUUUAAUUAUACUCACAAUGGUGUAACAGAUCACUCUUCAUUUCUUUACUAGUAUCGAGGGUAAUCCCAAAACAUUUUAAAAUCAAUUGCUAAGACACAAAGGGAAACCUUAAACCUACCCCCAGAAAGCAAAAGCCAUUAAGGUGAAGUAUGGCAGCUGUAGUAUUUCCCAGACAGCAACGUCAGAAUAAAGACAUUAAUAAUGAAAAACUUAAAGUAUGGCAGUUCUUCAGUACUAAAAAAACAAUCAAACAAAUAAAAAAUAAAACCCCAUGCUCAACAGGAAUCUAACAAAGAAUGGGCAAGAACCUUGUUUUUUGUAUCCAAAUUCCAAGAUUUCGAAGUUUGUACUGUCAGCCCACUGUUGUGUGGCCUGCAUGCUAAUGGUGUUGCACACACCAGUGCUAAUGGAGUAUGUGCUUCUGAAAACCAAGCACUGUGCUACAACUCUGUCAAGAUAUGCAGCAGCAGAGAUGGGAAGUUCAUGACUGGACCUAAUAAAAUGAGUAAUGUCUUGAAGAAGGCUGCAUCAGAAAAGUAAUACCUCCGUCCCCAAGGAUCAUACCUCUCCAGGAAUAGUGACUACUGCUUCUCUCAUGUUUCAGAUUGAUUCUGAGUAAGUUAUCUUCUGAAGUUAUAUUCUGAACAGACAGAAUGACUGAAUUUACCUGGGCCAAGUUCAUCCAUAGGUAUCAUAUCACGACUCCCAGUUUUCUCAUUAUCUGUAAGACAGAAGCAUGGAAUAACUGUAACUACUCAAGUUACGUUUGAUUUUCUCAAUACUGGUACUUCUAAAUUAGUCUCAGAACCAGAGAGGUCCUUGAAGUAUUGGCUGCAGACCUGUAAAAAAAAAAAAUUCAACUGCUAUCCAUUCAGAAAGGACAAUUUAAGCUCUCCAGACAGCAUAUGAAAUCCUUAUUUUCUGCUUUGGACUAACUGCCAUUUAACAAGCUUCUCUUAAGUUCCAUCUUACACCUAUCCCAAAUUCUCCCAGAUUAUUCUAACUGAUCAUGUUGUUUUCUCAACUUGUAUGCAGUAUCGGCAGAGCACAUUUUGCAAAAGAAGGAAAACUGCUUAUAUCCAGAUAAAUGGGCCGAUCGUCUCGUUACUAUGAAUUAAAAAGCACUGUAUAAGUAAUACAUUUACCCCUUCAUGUCUUGCCCUCCCUUUCACUUCCCAUAACACAGUUGUGGCAAAUUCAGCAAGCAAGCAAAACACAUACAGAAAGUGGUAACUAGCAGAACUGACCUUGACUUUUAUCCACCAGCGGCAAAGUGCUGUCAUCAUAGCCAGACCUGCCAGCAGUACCUUUGGAACUCUUUGGAGUUGCAGAAACAGACUUCAAAACAAAAAUUAGGUAAAUAUGAAACUGCUGUUCAGGGAAAUCAAACAAGUAAAAUAAGCAGUAUGAAGCAAGAUCACCUAUUGCUUCUAAAUCCCCUCCUGUUGAUAGCAUGGCAGUGGAGUUUUUUUUUUUAAUAUUUUCAUACAGAUUUGUUAGUGGAAAUUUUUUUGUGUGUGUAUUAUCUAGAUGGCUGCACUGUUGGUCUGUAAAAGGAGCUCAACCUUUUCAGAAGGGAAGGUAAGGAGGCUGCACGUCAAGAACUAGUGACUGCUCUGGACUGCUGCCUGAAAUAGAUUUCAUAUGAGAAAAAAAACAGUUGAGAAAAGACAUGCUGAUCCUUCCUUGAGCAAAGCCCACACAUUUGGGCUACACAGCAUGGCAUACUUUCAAAAACUAAAAAGCUACAUUUCAUAGACCAGCAAAAAACCUAUCCAUGAAGUAUGUGCAUGAUGUUAUGACUGAAUAGGUUACAACACAUUUUUCCAUUACCCAGAAGAACAGAUUCAAAGCAUGUAAUCUAUCAGACAUUAGUAUUACAUUAAGAGAGGGCACCUUCCACUCAGGUAUUUCAUAACUACUAACUAAACCUAAGACCCGACAUCUUUACCUGGAAGUGUGAUUUGUUCCAGCC
rnacentral:lncRNA from 1 species